GACGAACGCUGGCGGCGUGCUUAACACAUGCAAGUCGAACGGAAAGGCCCUUCUUUUGUGGGGUGCUCGAGUGGCGAACGGGUGAGUAACACGUGACUAACCUGCCCUUGACUUUGGGAUAACUUCAGGAAACUGGGUCUAAUCCCGGAUAGGCGCUCCUGCUGCAUGGUGUGGGUUGGAAAGUUUCGGCGGUUGGGGAUUGACUCGCGGCUUAUCAGCUUGUUGGUGGGGUAGUGGCUUACCAAGGCUUUGACGGGUAGCCGGCCUGGGAGGGUGACCGGCCAAAUUGGGACGGAGAUAGGGCCCAGACUCCUACGGGAGGCAGCAGUGGGGAAUAUUGCACAAUGGGCGGAAGCCGGAGGAAGAAAGGCGGCGUGGGGGAUGACGGCCUUGGGGUGGUAAACCGCUUUAGCAUGGGAGGAAGAGUGAGUGACGGUAAUGGGUAAAGAAGCACCGGCUAACUACGUG
rnacentral:rRNA from 1 species